rnacentral:misc_RNA from 1 species
AAGUCGUACCAAGGUUUCCGUAGGUGAACCUGCGGAAGGAUCAUUAACACGUAUCCAACGUAAAAAACCCCCCUGUGAACAUUCAAACCUGCUCUCGUAGCCCAGUGCGAUCCAGCAAUCCCGGUAAAUCAUGGUCGAACAGUAUUGAUUCGGGACUUCUGACAAAUGAGAAGUUACAGUUACGAUUGAGCGGAGAUAGCUGCAUGGCAUCCCGAAGCAGUCUAAGGAUCUCGCCUCAACGAUUGCCAGAGCUCACCGACCGGCAGACAUGCAACCGGGUCUC